rnacentral:lncRNA from 1 species
UGAAUAUCCUAAUCCUGAAGAUGUAACGAGCAAUUUGGUAAAAUAAAUUUGUCGUAAUCUUUAACGGUUGCGAAGGAGUAGUGGCCACAAGAAAAACAGUGUUUGGGGAGAUAACUCUUACAACGUAAAGUAUUUUGUUACACAGUUGUAAAUUUUUAAAGCGUAUAAACUAUACGAUACCAUAUUCCAAAUAUCUAAGCGACAUCUCUUUGAAACAUCAAUAAUACGCAAGAAAAAAAAUUAGGCGGAAGAAAAAAAAAAAAAAAAAAUAAUAAUAAUUAAAAACCAAUUGUUCAGAGAACAAUUGUAGGUCUUUCCACUAGUAAAGAUCUAUUUUGAUAUUGAAAUAUUAAAAAUCAGUUUAAAAUGUUAGUUCCUAUGGCUUUAUGAUGUAUUUAUAUGAAUUUAAAGCAAAGGUCAAAAUCUAGAACGUCAUAUUAACCUAUGACCUUGACCUCAAUUUCAAGGUCACAAACCAAGGACCUUAAAUCAAAAGACCCUAGGUCUUUAAUAUGUUUGGUUAUUGAGUAAUAUCACUUUACGCGUAAUUCUAAAUGUAAGAUGGGCAAAAACUCCCAUUUAUUGUCUGCGCACCCUUUCAACCAAAAUAUACAAGUAAGGACAUGUCGCAACUAACAAUUUAUGAAAAAUUAUUUGUCGAUAUGUCAUAAGGUAUUUGAAAAAAAAGUGAAAAUAAGCCAAAAUCAAAAUUUAGAAUAUGACCUUGACCUUUGACCUUGACCUCAUUUUCAUUUUUUGGACCAAG